AUGGUCAACUUGUUGUGCACCAGCACUCCCAGCUCCUUCUCCGCAGAGCUGCUCUCCCGCUGGUCAGCCCCCAGCCAGUUCUGGUGCAUGGGGUUGUUCCUCCCUGGGUGCAGGACCCGGCACUUCCCCUUGUUGACCUUCAGGAGGUUCCCCUCUGCCCUUCUCUCUAGCCGGUUGAGGUCCCUCUCAAUGGCAGCACAGCUCUCUGGUGUAACAGCCACUCCUCCCCAUUUUGGAUCCUCAGCAAACUUGCUGAGGGUGCACUCUGUCCCUUCAUCCAUGUCAUGGAUGAAUAAAUUGAACAGGAUUGGAACCACUAUUGACCCCUGGGGGACACUGCUAGCUACUGGCCUUAACUAUAGCAAAAUUAAGUUACUAGACCAAGGCAAGGAAGGCAUUCAAUCUCUCUUCCUUUCCCAUGUCCUUUGUCACCAUGGCCCCUGCCCCAUUCAGCAGCGGGCACACAUUUCCCCUAGUUUUGCUUUUGCUGCUAAUGAACUUGCACAUCUUCUUGUUGCCCUUGACAUCCCUCACCAGAUUCAACUGCAGAUGGCCUUUGGCCUUCCUAGCCCCAUCCCUGCAUACUUGGACAGUGUCCAUCUAUCCUUCCCAGGUUACCUGUCCCUGCUUCCACCUUCCGUAUACUUCCUUCUUAUGUUUGAGUUUUGCCAGGAGCUCCUUGUUCCUCCAGGAAUGUCUCCUGCCACCUUUGCUCAACUUCCUGCUCAUUGGGAUGGACUCUUCCUGAGCUUGGAGGAGGUGAUCCUUGAAUAUGAAGCAGCUAUCCAUGUCUUCUUUUUUCUCUUUAGGGUCUUUAGGGCCCUAUCCCAUAGGAUUCUUUCAAGUAGGUCCCUGAAGAGGCCAAAGUUUGCUCUCCUGCAGUCCAGGGCUGUGAUCCUGCUUUUUGACUUAUUACCUCCUCUCAGAAUCCUGAACUCCACCAGCUCAUGCUCACUGCAGGCAAGGUUGCCUCCAACCUUCACAUCUCUAGCUAGUCCUUCCCUGUUUGUAAGUACGAGGUCCAGCAGCGCACCUGUUCUCCUUGGCUCCUCUAUCACCUGUGUCAGGAAGCUGGCAUCAGUGCUCUCCAGGAACAUCCUGCAUUGUCUUAUUGCUUGUGCCCUUCUGUGUGGUCCCUCCAGCAGAUAUCAGGGUAGCUAA
rnacentral:lncRNA from 1 species